rnacentral:lncRNA from 1 species
CGAAUUUAUCAUGAAUCCAACCAAAAUCCCAAAAACCCACUAAAAUGCCAUGAGUAAAUUAGUUAAAUGAGAGAGCAAGGGGUGCGAUCAACGAAAAAGGAAAAAUCCCAACAUCUAGGGGCCAGACGCCUGGUUAAAUACUCCAAAAGAGAGUCAAAUGUUGUUUUCUUUUCACUCCUCUCUUCUUCGUCUCCUUCUUUAUGUUUUCUUUUGUGUGUGAUGCUGUUUUGCCUAGGUUGAGUUUUUUUAGUUCAAAAUUUCUUUAACUUCAAUGAGAAAUUAAAGAAGUUGCUCUGAUGAACUUUGAGUGAGGAAAGGAUUUUUUUGCAGAGUGAGUUUAGAGUAAUGUGUACCUCCUUGUGAGGCAAUGAGAUGGUUAAUUUAUAGGAGAGUGGAAAUGAGAUAGGGAGGUUUCAAAUUCAUGUGAAAAUUUGUUAGUUUUGCUCAUAUAUUUUCCUUCACUCGUGUGAAUGAGAGAUGGUGAGGUGGAAUUUGGGG